AAAUAUACACGUUACUUUUCCUUCUUCUACUAGAAAAUAGGAUUCUGAGUUCUAGUUAAAUUGGGCACUGGAGGGACCACAUAAUUUAUUACUGAGGCUUCCUAUUAUGGAAAUAAUUCCAAAUAAUUAAUUUGAAUUAUUCUUACCAUAAUAAAUUACAAAUCAUUCCACUAAAAAUUCGUAAUUGCACUCCUCUAUUUAUAUUUCGAAAUUCACCAUUAAACACUUAUGUAAUUCCCCAUGUUAAGAUUCCAGAUACUAAUCAAUAAAUUAAAUUACUGACGAAUUUAAUUCAAUGAUUAAUUUCCUUUAGAGCAACACUUAACUUAUUUCAUGUGCCAGA
rnacentral:lncRNA from 1 species